GGUUGUAUGGAGUAGUUGGUUAACUUAGGAGAUUCUGAUCUACCUCUCUUCGGAGAGCGAUACGAUUCGACCUUUCUCUUGCCCUGGGUUCGAAUCCCAGUACGACCU
rnacentral:tRNA from 1 species